GGAGGCUAAGCUGAUACGGGAAACCCGCUUAUCAGUAUGAAUAACUCCACCUCCUUCAAUGUGAAGAGAAGGUUAAGCCAUUGACGUUUUUCUGUAUUAUAUGCCUUUUUUCGAAGAAUGUUCACAUGCUUUAUUGUGAGCUUAAUAUUAUUCUUUGUAUGUUUCCUUUGCAUGUGGGAUUAUGAUGUUGUAUUCAAGAACUAGGCUCGUGGAGAGACCAAGACACCAAAACGGUUCAUCAACGGCACCAUCAGUAGUGAUAUCCACCGCAAGUUUCUGCGGUCAAGGUCUCACCUGAAGAUGGCCACUUCCUGCAUCUUUCUCAGGGCUCCCUUGCCGGGGCCAAGAAGGACGGCAAGGUGACCACAAAGGCACUGUUGCUGACGCUGCCACACAGGGAACUCUCGCAUUUUAGCCUCCUGGCAUCCUGGAUGGAGAAUUCGUCUAGUCCUUUUGCCGCCAGCCAGGGGCCAUGUUUCUCGGGUGGUGUCACAGCGUUUAAUCUACCUUUUAGUAGUAGCAACAACUACGCAGAGUAGGCUGAUCCUCUGGAUGGUGGCGACCUCAGUAUAGCUCUUGCUGGUGCUGAAUACCACGGCACCACCACAACCUAAGGCUCCCUGUCGCGGCCUAAAUGAAGUAUAAUGGCUGCUAAUAUAAAGAGUUAUAAAUUAUAGGUCCGUUGCAAGUGUGGUUCUCUUGCAUUAUUGAUGGUAGAUAUAUUUAGGUAACAAAUUCUAUGUCUACUCGGGAUUUGCAUGAUUUCAUUCAUAGAUAGUAUGCUUGGUACCCAUUACACGGUGAAAUAGUUGAGAUAAGAAAUGGAUGUGUCACAAGUUAGGAUCUCUCACUGCUAAAUUGAUUGGUGCAUAUUAUUAGGUAUUGCAUGUACUGUUACAAAUAAGGAUGGUCUCGAGGCUGGAUAUAUUUUGUUUUGAGGUCUUCAACUAGUUAAAUUGACUAAACCUAAACCCCUGUCUUCUCUCUGAUUUUCACAUGGAAGUGAAACUAUAAUUUAUUCAAACAUGCAUACACACUAGGUAUCUCAGUAUACGGAUUAGUAUUGGUAACCUGCUUGUUUGACAUGUUUGGAUGCUUGGUAUGUUUUUUUUCCGCCAUUAUGUUGAGAUUUCACACCUGUUGGGAACGAGCGGUACAAUUUUUUGCGUCUUUGUUGUGUUUAUGGGCAGUGGAGUGGUGGGAAUGAGGAUUCACUUAGUUGUGCGAAGUCACCUUCUGAGCUAAACUUGAACUUU